GUGUGACCUUAUAAUUUUCCUAUAUUUUAAACCAAAAUAAUGUAUUCCCCCCAAUAUAUUUAACUCUCCCUCCAAUUUCUAAUUGGCAAAAAAUAACCUCAAUAUAAACAUAACUCUAAAAACGUUUUGCCCCAAAUUAAAAUGCUCUCCUAGUUGCUAUUUGCCUAUAUCACUGCUCAAAAGUUAAACCCUACUUUCUCUCCUUCUCAUUUCCACCCCAAAAAUUCUCCAUUGUAACUUUAUUGAUGUUUGGUUGUGAUUUCCUUAAUCGUUCUUCACCUUUAUGGGAGAGACUAAAAAAACAAUUCGAAGAAUUCCAGAUCUGGAGGAAUCAGAGACUCUACAUGCUAUGGCGAUGGAGAUAGAUUCAGCCACUCAGCUCAU
rnacentral:lncRNA from 1 species